UACGUAGGGUGCAAGCGUUAAUCGGAAUUACUGGGCGUAAAGCGUGCGCAGGCGGUUUUGUAAGUCUGUCGGGAAAUCCCCGGGCUUAACCUGGGAAUGGCGAUGGAGACUGCAAGGCUAGAGUUUGGCAGAGGGGGGUAGAAUUCCACGUGUAGCAGUGAAAUGCGUAGAGAUGUGGAGGAACACCGAUGGCGAAGGCAGGUCUCUGGGCUGACACUGACGCUCAUGCACGAAAGCGUGGGGAGCAAACAGG
rnacentral:rRNA from 1 species